GAUGAAGAACGUAGUGAAAUGCGAUAAGUAAUGUGAAUUGCAGAAUUCAGUGAAUCAUCGAAUCUUUGAACGCACAUUGCGCCCGCCAGUAUUCUGGCGGGCAUGCCUGUUCGAGCGUCAUUUCAACCAUCAAGCCCCCGGGCUUGUGUUGGGGACCUGCGGCUGCCGCAGGCCCUGAAAAGCAGUGGCGGGCUCGCUGUCACACCGAGCGUAGUAGCAUACAUCUCGCUCUGGGCGUGCUGCGGGUUCCGGCCGUUAAACCACCUUUUAACCCAAGGUUGACCUCGGAUCAGGUAGGAAGACCCGCUGAACUUAAGCAUAUCAAUAAGCGGAGGA
rnacentral:misc_RNA from 1 species